GCAGGAAACCCUGCACGUGUUCCAAAUGAUUAUAUGCCUGCGGGACAAGGGGGUAGGGGGUGUGGAGCCAUACAAGGAAAAGAAUUGAAACCAGACCCAUAUAGGACGUCUGUUAACGAGGAAUGCUUCUCUUGUCUUGUCCACAUUUGUCUUGACUUACAUUCUGGCUUCUUUCCUCCUCACUCGUUGUGUCAAAGUGACUAGUGCCUAGUGCUAAUACGUGUGCUGAUUCCUGCAGAAGCCUCCUAUGUAUGCAUGUUUUUUUAAAGACAGGAAGACAGCUAUAUAGGUUACACAGGCACUUUCAGAUCAGCUGUCAGUUUCAUGGCCCAAUGACUCAAUCAGUGCGAAGGAUCAGCUCUUGCUGGACUCGGAGGGUGGGACGUUCAGCUCCUGCUUGCUUCUGAAAUGAAACAGGAGAAAAUAGGUGUCAUGUUUUAAAGGCUUCUUCAUUAGCUA